AGAUUGAACGCUGGCGGCAUGCCUAACACAUGCAAGUCGAACGGGAGUAGCAAUACUCUAGUGGCGGACGGGUGAGGAAUACGUAGGAAUUUGCCCUUAAGUGGGGGAUAACCCGGGGAAACCCGGAUUAAUACCGCAUGACCUCGAAAGAGCAAAGUGGGGGAUCGCAAGACCUCACGCUUUUGGAGAAGCCUACGUCGGAUUAGCUAGUUGGUGAGGUAAUGGCUCACCAAGGCGACGAUCCGUAACUGGUCUGAGAGGAUGAUCAGUCACACCGGAACUGAGACACGGUCCGGACUCCUACGGGAGGCAGCAGUGGGAAUAGUUGGACAAGUGGGCGCAAGGCCUGGACUCCAGCAAUGCCGCGUGUGUGAAGAAGGUCCUUGGUAGUAAAGCACGUUUAAGUAGGUAAGAAAACGUACGCGUAC
rnacentral:rRNA from 1 species